GACAAACGCUAGCGGCGUGUAUUAGGCAUGCAAGUCGCACGGUCACCUCGCAAGAGGUGGCAGUGGCGGACGGGUGAGUAACACGUGGGUAACCUGCCUCGCAGUGGGGAAUAACUCGCCGAAAGGCGAGCUAAUACCGCAUACCACUCUCGGUGAGAAUCCGAGCAGUAAAAGUAGCAAUGCGCUGUGAGAGGGGCCCGCGGCCGAUUAGCUUGUUGGUGGGGAACGGCCUACCAAGGCGACGAUCGGUAGCUGGUCUGAGAGGAUGGUCAGCCACACGGGGACUGAGAUACGGCCCCGACUCCUACGGGAGGCAGCAGCUAAGAAUCUUGCGCAAUGAGCGAAAGCUUGACGCAGCAACGCCGCGUGGAGGACGAAGGCCCUCGGGUCGUAAACUCCUUUUGUGAGGGAAGAAGAUCUGACGGUACCUCACGAAUAAGCCACGGCU
rnacentral:rRNA from 1 species